rnacentral:misc_RNA from 1 species
AAAUUGGUCAUUCUCGUACUCCCUUGUCGCUGUCCUCACAUGUAGACUCAUCGUGCACAGCUCGGUGGAUGCUAUGGAUGGCUUGAUCAUUGCGNUACGCUGGUGCAUGAGAUGUGAUGGACCUGUGACUGCUAGAGGCCCCCCGCACUAGUGCGGCCGACUCUGGGCGCCAGUGUCCCCUCAAUUGUUCGGGCCUCGUGCUCGUGCCUAUACAGGUGCUUGCAUGGUUCUACCCGUGCCAUGGGAAGUGGCUAUCACUACAUGCUGAAUACGUUGCGUCCACUUUUGGGUGUCACGCAUCGGCUCUAGAGCAGCGGCGUCGCCUCGUGGUACAACCUCCUUUGGGUUGCACCUCCAAGGCCACCUCGCUAGCGCUCUUGGUUUCGGAUGGAGCUCAUGCUAUAGGAUUGGGCUGCUUCAGUGCCCCAUUCCUCUCAAAGUCAGUACCUUCGGAACAAAGACAGCCAGCUCGGUCGACGCCUUGUGC